rnacentral:misc_RNA from 1 species
GAUGAAGAACGCAGCGAAAUGCGAUAAGUAAUGUGAAUUGCAGAAUUCAGUGAAUCAUCGAAUCUUUGAACGCUCAUUGCGCCCGCCAGUAUUCUGGCGGGCAUGCCUGUUCGAGCGUCAUUUCAACCAUCAAGCCCCCGGCUUGUGUUGGGGACCUGCGGCUGCCGCAGGCCCUGAAAACCAGUGGCGGGCUCGCUGUCACACCGAGCGUAGUAGAUUUUCAUCUCGCUCAGGGCGUGCUGCGGGUUCCGGCCGUAAAAAGCCUUAUUUACCCAAGGUUGACCUCGGAUCAGGUAGGAAGACCCGCUGAACUUAAGCAUAUCAAUAAGCGGAGGA